rnacentral:rRNA from 1 species
CGAAUCUUUGAACGCACAUUGCGCCCAUUAGUAUUCUAGUGGGCAUGCCUGUUCGAGCGUCAUUU